AUUGAACGCUGGCGGCAUGCCUUACACUUGCAAGUCGAACGGCAGCACGGGAGCAAUCCUGGUGGCGAGUGGCGAACGGGUGAGUAAUGUAUCGGAACGUGCCCAGUCGUGGGGGAUAACGUAGCGAAAGCUACGCUAAUACCGCAUACGAUCUAUGGAUGAAAGCGGGGGAUCGCAAGACCUCGCGCGAUUGGAGAGGCCGAUAUCAGAUUAGGUAGUUGGUGGGGUAAAGGCUCACCAAGCCGACGAUCUGUAGCUGGUCUGAGAGGACGACCAGCCACACUGGGACUGAGACACGGCCCAGACUCCUACGGUGGGCAGCAGUGGGGAAUUUUGGACAAUGGGCGCAAGCCUGAUCCAGCAAUGCCGCGUGCAGGAUGAAGGCCUUCGGGUUGUAAACUGCUUUUGUACGGAACGAAACGGCGAGCUCUAAUACAGUUUGCUAAUGACGGUACCGUAAGAAUAAGCACCGGCUAACUACGUGCCAGCCGCCGCGGUAA
rnacentral:rRNA from 1 species